ensembl:lncRNA
GUAGGUAUGAAGUUCUUAUUGCUCUCAUUCCGACACGUACAGGACCAGGGCCAGCCAGUAGCAGCCUGCUCACUCUAUUUCUCACAUUCCUAUGGCAGACGUGACUAAUCGAGCCUGCAGUCUUCCUCCUUAGGCUGACCAGUGAUGUCUGCCCUGGAGUGGGAGCAAGGGAGGAAAGGAAAGCUAUUUGCCAACGCAAUGCUGUACAGACUUUACCGCUUGGAAACCAACACAAAGCUCUAAUAGGUGCCUGAAUGCUAAUCGCUGCCCCUGUUUAGGUCAGAAGCCAAUAAACUGCCACUGGGAGUAGGGGCAGGAGGCAGAAUCCAUAAGAGAGUAACUACCAACCAAGCUUGAGAGAAGGAAACAUCUGCUAGAAGAGAGUGUCUUGUUCCACAAUUGUUCUCUUCUGGACAAGCCACUAUCCCAAGCUCUGAGGGUAGCACCAAGCCACAUGGGAGAUGAGCCAACAAACCCAGGGGGGGUUAAGUGGCAUGGCCAAGAUGACCCUCUAGAAGGGGCUAGAACCAGCUUCCGUGCUUUUUACCUUUGGGCAGGCAGCAAGGUUUGCAAACACCCACAUAUUACCCAACCAUCCUUGCAGAGAGAGGCCCACAGACCCUGCAGCCAGAGAGCAGCCUGAAAUGUGAGACCUGGCAAGCCCUUGGCCAGGUUCUCAGAGCCUGAGAAGCAACCUCAGUGAAAUCCAGAAGGCACUAUAUCAAGAAGCCGGCAGUUUGGGAACAAUCCUGCUAAGUCAUAAAUGCUUCAAAUUCUUCGGCUUUUGCCUUCAGAAUUUCUGGCAGCCUUGGGCAGGGGGCAAGUGUUCGCGGACAGACACUGACUCGCCUCGUCUCUGUUAGGGAAGGCCAAGACAGACUGAGACGGAGAAGCCAGCAGACCAACUCUCCUCUAGAAAAGUCUGCGGGUGGGAAGUGCUUUGCUGUGGAUACUCUGGUGCCCACCCAGAACCCCAUUAAAACCCAGGCUCCCAUGCCCCCACAUCCUCUCCCUUCCCCCUACAGCUGCCUCCCAGGCCGCCAUCAACCUCAGCCAAGGAGGCGGGUGGUCCAAGUCUACACGCCCUCCCCUGGGGACCCAAGCACUGGUCCACAGUGACACAGAGGCCAGUACCUUGUUUCUGUCCAUGCCGUCUCCACGUAACCAGCCCUUCAGAACUCCUGGCGAGAGUUGCAGCUGCCUCACUGUUGAGCUUUCCUCCCCACCCGCUCCUGCUCCCUCUCAGGUGUUGGCCCUGUGAUCCGCGCUCCCAGCAGGUGUAUCUUGUUCCCCACUCCCUGUCUGCCUGGCACUGGCAGUCCCCCAUCUUAGAGUGGGCUUCCCAGGAAGCUGAUCUGCAGAGCCUAGAAAGGGGAGGAAGAGUCAUGGGGUCUGGGUGCUGAGAGCACUGUGAAAUAAUCUCAUUCAGCCCCACCGCCCCACCGUGGAAACAGCCUGCCAGAGGCCACAGAGUGGACUGUUAGUACAGCUGGCCCCAGGCGCUCUGACCCCACUACGGGAUGAUAUGAAAAUUGCUUACAUGUCCGAUGUUGGGCUGCACCCCACAGGCCUGCAAGCCUUGUAGUUGUUCAGCCUCAAGACAACUAAACAGUCCAGAGACAGUGACAGAGGCCUCAGUGGUUUCACGGCUAGGGAGACCUUACACGUCUGAAGCAAGGCCAGAGCGACACCCCGCCAUGUGCGGUGGGGAGGACACAGCAGAGGUCUUCGCCACCCGGAGGAGAAGGCGGCUACCGCUUACAGGGGAACUGACAUCAGGUUGGCGCAUCAGCUACCAGGGAAACCAGCGGCAGGAGCACGCCCCUCACAACCCCUCAGGAGUGAUGGUAAUCUCCACUUCACAGAGUUUCCAUGAGGACACCAAAAGAGCGCAUGGAACGUGGGAAAGUACGCACCCGAGGCUGCGGCAAGAUCAAGCGGCAGAGCCCCGACUUCACUGCUCCCCCCGAGGCGCCUGUGCCCAGGGGAGAAAUGCCUCCCCCAUCAAAGGCAGAGGAGGGCUAGCUCUUCUCUGCCCCAGGGCAGGAGGGAGCUAGUGCUGAUUGGGAUGGAGAACAAAGACAUGCAGGCCCCUGAACUCUGAGCAACCAAGGUCACAGGUAAGAAAACUGAGCUUCAGCAAGCGUAUGUGACUCAGCCAGAACUGCAGGGCUGGCCAUGAUCAAGGUCAGGAUUUCUUCCUCCAAGUCCUGCACUCUUUCCGGUGCUCCACAUUGCCUCUUAUUUCCCUAAGGGACUCUAUCCAAUAGCUUUUCAGAGUUCCUGUCUGAAGAGCACAGGAGCAGAGAAUUCGGAGUUUGAAAGGACCUGCCUCAUUUCCCGCACAAGGCAGGAACCCCUCCUGCAGUGUUCCUGGCGGAUGGGCGUCCUGUUUCUGGGAAGGGAAAGGAAGGAGAACCAACGUGAACAAACCCGCAAAGGACUGUAUCACUGAGGUUGCCUUCACUUAGAGAGUGCAAGUUCUAACUUGAUCAGCCUAAACC